rnacentral:rRNA from 1 species
UACGUAGGGGGCAAGCGUUGUCCGGAAUCAUUGGGCGUAAAGCGCGUGUAGGCGGUUCGGUAAGUCUGCUGUGAAAGUCCAGGGCUCAACCCUGGGAUGCCGGUGGAUACUGUCGGACUAGAGUACGGAAGAGGCGAGUGGAAUUCCCGGUGUAGCGGUGAAAUGCGCAGAUAUCGGGAGGAUCACCAAUUGCGAAGGCAGCUCGCUGGGACGUCACUGACGCUGAGACGCGAAAGCGUGGGGAGCAAACAGG